rnacentral:rRNA from 1 species
UACGAAGGGGGCUAGCGUUGCUCGGAAUCACUGGGCGUAAAGCGCACGUAGGCGGCUUUCUAAGUCAGGGGUGAAAUCCUGGAGCUCAACUCCAGAACUGCCUUUGAUACUGGAGAGCUUGAGUCCGGAAGAGGUGAGUGGAACUCCGAGUGUAGAGGUGAAAUGCGUAGAUAUUGGGAGGAACACCGGUGGCGAAGGCGGCCCUCUGGACCGGUACUGACGCUGAUGCGCGAAAGCGUGGGGAGCAAACGGG